UUACUGUAUUUGUUUUAGAUAAUCAUGUGUUACGAAAAGAAUAUUUUUAAGAAAUUUGUAGCAGUAAUGAAGUAAAAAGAAUUCAGUGUAUGUCAGAUACACCAAGCUGUUGAUGGAAUUCACAUGUGAUUUAAGUUAGUUUUUCUGUACACAUUAUUGAUUACUGGUUUGUUCGAGUCCACUGAACAGCUCGUGUGUUGGCAGCCACUGUGGUAAUCAUGGAAUGUUAGUGCUGAUCACUUGGUGGACAUUUUUUUCCUGCCUGUUUUGUUUCCCCCUCAAGUAACUAGUAGGUGUAUAUUACUUUUUUUGGUGAACUUGUUUCUUAAAAGAUUUGCCUGUGCUAUUCAGGUUUUUUAUUAUUAUGUUUUUCUUCUAAAUUUAAGUGUCAGAUGGCUGCUGCUCCCAGCAAAGACUAUAUGAAAGCUAAAAUCUACUGCUUUGUUGAAAAAUCAGCUAAUUCAGGUAAUCUAAAUAUUUGUAGGAAAACAGCUGGAUAAUUUUUAAUCACAUUAGCAUCAUGUAGGCAGCUUUCAUAAUCAUUGCAUAGGUUUUCAUUGUUGGAGUAGUCAACUUGAUAGUGAUUUACUUUUACUAUGCUUUGCAUAUAAAAUACUCAAUAAAAAAAGUAAAUUUUCAUUUAUUUUUUAGUCCUGUUAAUUAUUUUUUCCUUCCUGUACUAGCAGUAAAACUCUGACCAUGAGUUUUACUUUUGAAUUAAAGGAUAAUGCCAAUAUUUUAAUUAACUUAUGUGCUUCUUACUGAAACAGUGUGCAGUACUUUAAAAUCUUUAUUUAGCACAUUAAUUGUAGAAGGAAUAAUGUUUUAAACAAAAAUAUAGUGUUGAUAAGAUCUGGGUGCAUUAGUGGUGGAGCCCUUUAUCUUAGACUUCAUCAAAUCCCUGUUUUUUUCUUUUAGAUUCACUUUGUACAUGCACACAAUUCUGUCAGUAGCUAUAAACCGCCCACAUACUUUCUUUAUCUCGUGCCUCUAGCUUCUCUUUUCACCUCUACCAGAGGUUACAUUUUAUCUCUGGUCAGCUUCUUGGAAAGAAUUAUGUAACUUGGGACCUUCAUGUUUACUGUGGACUGAUGAUCAUAUCCUUUACAAUCCAUUUAUUUUAUUUUGAUGUCUAUCCAGAUACAGUUAAAAAGAAGCUAGAAUGCAAAACUUCCCUCUUAAUCCUGGGCCAAAUGCACAGUUUUACUCUCACUUUCAAAAAACUUCUGUGACCAAAUAAAGAUGCUUUUAAUAAAGGAAACAGCUCUCUACUUGGUGUUGGAUUGUUUAGCAAUGAAAAAAAUUAAGCCAAUUAGGAAAGGUAGAUUGAACUUUGACUUUAUACAUAUGAAACAAAAACAAAGUAAGAGUUUUGAGUGCUUUAUGUGUUUUUCAUGUUAAAGUGUAUACAGUUAUUCAGUAUAUAUUAUAGUCUUAACCUGGUUGCUAUCUCUGUUUAGGUAUACCAUGGGGCAUGAAAUUCACAAUCUUUAUAUUAUGUUAUAGGCUUUUAUCCAGAGAAAAAUUUGCAUUUUAAAAUGUGAACUAUUUGGGGCCAAGCCUGUUGGCACAGUGGUUAAGUUCAUAAGUGCUUUGGCAGCCCAGGGUUUGCUGGUUUGGAUUCCAGGUGCAGACCUUCGAACUGCUUGUCAAGCCAUGCUGUGGCAGGCAUCCCACAUAUAAAGCAGAGGAAGACGGGCAUAGAUGUUAGCUCAGGGCUAGUCUUCCUCAGAAAAAAAAAAAUGUAUAUAUAUAUAUAUAUACACACACACACACACACACAUAUAUAUAAAAUAAAAUGUGAACUGUUUACUGUGGUUAGACAAAGGAAGAUGAUGUCACCAGUGAUCAUUUUAGCUUUAUGGAAGCAAAUUAUUAAGAAAAACUAAUAGAAAGGUAUCAUUUCUUUUAUUCUUGUAGUACAGAAGUAUAAACAGAUAUCAGUCAAAAGCAUAGG
ensembl:lncRNA